rnacentral:rRNA from 1 species
AAGUCGUAACAAGGUUUCCGUAGGUGAACCUGCGGAAGGAUCAUUAUAGAAUUAUGAGCGAGGGUUGUCGCUGGUCCCCUCGGGGGCAUGUGCACGCCUGAGCUCUUAAAUCCCACCACACACCUGUGAACCCACCGUGGGCCCUGCAAGGGGCUCGCCUCUAUAUACUCUGCAUGUCUCAUAGAAUGUCAAAUUGUUUGCCUUAAAAACGCAAUCAAAUACAACUUUCAACAACGGAUCUCUUGGCUCUCGCAUCGAUGAAGAACGCAGCGAAAUGCGAUAAGUAAUGUGAAUUGCAGAUUUUCAGUGAAUCAUCGAAUCUUUGAACGCACCUUGCGCUCCUUGGUAUUCCGAGGAGCAUGCCUGUUUGAGUGUCAUUCAAAUCAUCAACCCCCGUCGAUCUUUGAUCGGUCGGAGGCUUGGACUUUGGAGCGUGCUGGCCCCCUGAGGUCGGCUCCUCUUUAAAUGCAUCAGCGGAAAGCCCAUUGACGUUUCCCGUCGGCGUGAUAACACUGUUGCGUCGUCAGGGUCUGGUUGGGGCUCGCUUAUAAUCGUCUUCGGACAACAUCCCAUUUUGACCUCAAAUCAGGUAGGACUACCCGCUGAACUUAA